GGAAUUGGUACCAACAUCGUGCGCAACGUCAGUACAAUCAAGAUUAUUUCCAGUAUGAAUUUGGAUAUCAUAAUUUCUAUUAGUAUAUAUAUAUAUAUAUAUAUAUAUAGGACUCUUUAAAGUGCGAUGGGGAUGCUAAAGUACGAUGGUCAUGCUAAAGUGCGAUGGUCUGCGCUAAAGUGCGAUGCUUCCAUACGCUAAAGUCCGAUGAUCCGCGAAAAUAAAGAAAUAGAAACGUAGUUGAAAUAUGACGUUAACAGUCGUUUAUAUAAACUAACAAUAUACAUGCUGGAAGAUAUGAUUCAUUAAAAACUUGUAACCAAGCAGUCGGGAAGUUAGUGUUCAUGACUUAAAUUAAAUUUAAACCAAACAGUGCUUUGGCGGCUGAAGCAUAUGUGUGUUUUUUUUACCCGGGUGCUGGAAUGAAAAUUAGACUAGUUCUAAUUGAGUUACCCUCUUUAAAUAAAGAAUUUAUUAUUAUUAUUAUUAUUAU
rnacentral:lncRNA from 1 species